rnacentral:tRNA from 1 species
GUCCAGGAUAGUUUAGUGGACAUGGCAUCUGCCCGGUAAGCGGAACAUUGUGGGUUCGUUUCCCAUCGCUGGACA